rnacentral:tRNA from 1 species
GGGGGUAUAGCUCAGCUGGGAGAGCGCUUGCAUGGCAUGCAAGAGGUCAUCGGUUCGAUUCCGUUUACCUCCACCA